CUCACUGCUUGGGACUCAGCCUUGAGGCCCUCAGAGUUGGAGUACGUGCCUGCAGUGCAUGAUCUGAGAGACUCGGUCACUCCCUCACUUACAGCGCGGUUAAGAGCUCCAGGGCUGGGCUCCAACACACCUGGAUUCAGUUCCCGGCUGGGCCACUUCCCGUCUGGGCAACCCUGAGCAGCCCCCUGCGCCUCAGAUGCCUCAUCUGUAAAAUGGGUGUAAUCACAGUGCCUACCUCAUAGGGGUGUGGUGAGGAUCAAGCCAGUAACGCCCAACACCACUUCCUCAGAGAGGCCCUCUUGAUACCGGCUCAAGACAAGGUUGACACGAGGGAAGUAUAUUGUAACUUUGGAUGACCUCUGACUAACUCUGGACUUUACAGCCCCUCACAGCUGCUAUAAGCAGAUAACUGUUCUCUUGAGUUCUUUAGAAAUGUGAUGCCCCCCUCGCAGAGAGUCUAUGCUGACAGCCAUCAUUAAGGCAACUGAAAGAUCAGGGUGUAGGGCGUUGCUCCAGUCUCUGAUGCAUAUCCAGUAAAACAAAAGACUGCCAGCAACUAAGACCAGAUGCCGCCCCCACUCAGAGGCCAGCCCCCUAUAGAACUGGCCUAUAGUCUUUGCUCUGUAAGAUGGUUUUUUUCCGACGUUAGUCGGCCAUCUUCCCUCUUGCUAGCAAACUGUAAGAAAAAGUCCUUUCUUUCCUACCACCUUGCCUCUUGCCUCUUGCCAUGUUUCGCAGCCAGCAGAAGAUUCCCCGCCUUGGGCGGUAACACUCCCAGGUUACACCCGGCAGAAAGAGCUCCCCCAUCUCCCUCCAGGCCCUUCGUCAUCCUUUUACUUUGUCUUACUCUUUUCUUUAUAGCACUGUCAAAGGACAAAACUAAAACAAUUCAGUAAGGAGUCGGCGUCCUCUGGUAGACGGAAAACAAUCCGCGGACUAGAGGAGUCGAGACCGCCCGGGCUGUGGAGCCCAGUUCCCGCGGGAUUUGGGGCGAGAGCGCGUUCACAGAGUGGAGGAGGCAGGGCGAUGGGCUGGGGGGCGGGGCUCUCCUCUGGGGGCGCCGGGUCCUGGGUUCUAGGGUCAGGGUUGCAGGCUGGAGCUGCGUUAGAGGACCAUGACCGGAGUGUUAGGACUUCUUGUCAGCAGUUUCCCGAAAGGUCAGCUCUGUCGUGGUGGCGAUGUGCUCACUGCUGUGUCCCAAGAGCCCCUAGCACCGCUGGGCACGUCGCAGGGCUGAAUAAAAGUACCUGUGAGUUGCACCGCACCUUGCACGACGACUGACGCGUACUCCAUAUUCAAAAAACAACAAAAUCGAGGGAAAUGAAGAGCCCAGGAUGCUCCAGUCCUCCUGCCGGACGGAGAUAAUCGUGGCUAACACCUGGGUGUGUACAGCCUUCCGGAACUUUCUGGACACGUUGCAUAAACAAAUGAUUUUAUUGCCUUUUCCCCCUUGAUUAUGUAAGUGAUAGAUGUUCAUUGUAGGCAGCUUGGAAAAUAGUUUUUAAAAACAUAGGAAAGUUUUAACCACCUAUCCAUAAUGUCACACGGGGAGACUGUGUCUAGAGAAGUAGAGUGUGGAAGGUGGGGGCCUGGGGGUGGGCUCUGGAGUCGCCCAGUCUUGGCCUUGGUGAGGGGCUGAAUUUCCUGCGCCUCAGUAGUCACAUCUGUGGAAGGACAGUCACACAGUAGUGGCCGUGGCAGGGGUUGUUCUGGGGAGGAACGAGACCCUGCCUCGCCUGCUCGAUGGAUUGAGCCAGUAUUGUUGUACACAGUGUUAACCUCCGGGAGAUUCCCUUCCAGGUGUGUAAUCAUACAAUACAAUGUAACACAAUACAAUACAAAUGAUACUAUGUAUACAUAAUUUUGUAUCCUAUUUAUUUUUACUCAUCACUGAAUUUUGGACAUUUUUAGAAAAAUGACAUUUACUUUUCUUUUAUAACAUCGCUCUUAAUGGCUAAGUCAUGUUUCAUUGUUUCUCCCACCAGCCCUAUUGCUGACCUUCUAGGUGAAUUCCUUUCUUUAGUUGCUGUUGUUAUACAUAACACUGAAAUGAAAACUUUUCAUACAAAUUUUGUCCAGCAUUUCUGAGUAUUUCCUAAGAAGGAGAUUCCUAGAAGUGGAAUUGCUGAGACAAAAGGAACAAAUAUUCUUACUGUAUAUUACUGCUAAAUUAUGUCAAGAAAAUUUUUUAAAAAUCAGUGUAGGUAUCUGUCCUCCAUCUGUGAGUAUGUUUAUUCCCUGCAUCCUUGCUGCUACUGCCAUGUAUGAUUUUUUAAAGUUCACAGAUUUAAUGGAUGAGGAAGAUCUCUAGUUGCCUUGGUUACUGGGGGAAAAGAUGAGUGUUCUGAUGUUUGGUGGUGAGUGUUUGGUAGUUGAAAGAGCGAGUUUCUCAUCUCUUUGCACUGCUGGUUCCUAACCUAUAAAGUGGGGAAAACAGUAAUAUCUAUUUCACAGGGUCGUUUCGAAGAUUAAAUGGGUUAAUACGUAUAAACCUGUUAGAGCCCUUCUUGAUAAGUGUCAAAUAAACCUCAGCAAAUUAUUAUCUUUGUUGUUAUUGUUGCCAAAUUCCACAUGCAUAACUCAGGGCCUGUCUUCUGAAGGAAAGGAUGCUGUGUGAUUUUGUGUAGGUCUCAUGUCCUGUUUGGUCCUUAGUUUCUUCUCUGUCGAGUGGGGCUGAGAAUGCCUGCCUUGCCUGCCUCGGAAGGCUGUGGGAAGAACUGA